AUUGAACGCUAACGGCAUGCUUAACACAUGCAAGUCGAACGGCAGCACAGCAGUAGCAAUACUGUGGGUGGCGAGUGGCGGACGGGUGAGUAAUACAUCGGAACGUGCCCAGUCGUGGGGGAUAACUACGCGAAAGCGUAGCUAAUACCGCAUACGAACUGAGGUUGAAAGCGGGGGACCGUAAGGCCUCGCGCGAUUGGAGCGGCCGAUGGCAGAUUAGGUAGUUGGUGGGGUAAAGGCCUACCAAGCCGACGAUCUGUAGCUGGUCUGAGAGGACGACCAGCCCACACUGGGACUGAGACACGGCCCAG
rnacentral:rRNA from 1 species